UAUCUGUCUAGCCGAUGACCUUUCAAAGAAAAAGCCAUAUCAGUCGAGGCGACGCGAGCUGCGAGAUCCGAACCGAGGCGAUGCGCGCAAGGGGAUCCGGCGCGGGAGGGGCUGAAGCCGACGUGACACGCGCGAGGGAUCCAGCUGACGCGAGCUUCGUUCGAGGGGAUCCACUUCUCCGCAUCCAUUGAUCCCCUCCUCUACCUCGGAAACAAGCCUCCUCCCUCUCGCCCCGGAUUCCAAUGGGUUGCGCCGGCAUCGCCACCGACAUCCCUGUAGAUCUUCUUCCCUUGGUUCACUUGAUUCCAAGGCGGCGAACCCUAAACGGCAUGAGACGACAGUGAAUCAGUGAUGAAGCCCUUCUCUUGUGGUGGUGUGAAGUGACGACAUAAAGCAAGUCCCUCUCCCUCUCAAUUCCUCUCCUCUCGCGGGGUGAAUAUUUGUGUUCUGCCACCUUGGUAUUGUCUGCCACCGCCGUGGUAGUGCCCAUGUCUCUUCUCCAGUCAGUCACAUCGUGCUAUGAUGCACACAACCUCAAGUCUGGGAAGCAAAGCAACCCUGCUCACUCUUACAUAAUGCCAAUUCGUGUCAAGAGCCCUUUGCUGGCAACUCACUGGAUGUAGAAACCCAAGUGGACGCAGCUGCUGAGCCCUAAAUUGUUGUUUUUUGUGACAAUUAUCGGUAUGUAUUUACAUCAGCCAGAACAUCUUAUAUGGGUGUCUUGUCGUAAUAUUUCUACCUGGCAAAGAUUUCGUAUUGAUUCUUGAAUUUUACCAGGUCCUUUCCUACUUUUACCAUUCAAUUAUUACAAUCAUUGUGUGUAUCAUAUUUGUUUUCAGGUGAGCCUUGAAACAUACUCCCUUUGUAUCAAAAUAUAAGAUGUUUUUUGACACUGGAGUAUAUGGCUUGCCAAUCCCAUCAUGAUUGCGAAUAUAUAUGCUGUUUGCUGCUGGAGAAAAAUAAAUUUGCAGUCCAUUGAUUGAGUGCAUUACAAUAAUAAUUUCCAACCGUCACAUGAAACAAGGAAAUAUUUUCACGUGACUUCCUGUUUUGUCAGAUAUAACAAGGAAACAUCCACAUCAAUUUUGUUCUUGAUAUAUUUUAUAUUGGUUUAUAGCUCACUGAUCAUACCAUUUUUUAUUUGUGAUAUAAGAAUAUUUACCUUCUCAAACUUCCAUUUUGUUGGGAUUGUAUUAUGCUCAAUUAAUUCGAUAGAAAUAUACCCAGAGUACGAUAAACAAGGAAACAAAGCACACUCGCAUAAUUAAAUUAGCUUUGCCAAGGAUAUAGGGCAAAACUUCCUCGUGUAGAUCUUCUGCUUGUAUUGCACUAAGCUCUUGGUUACCAUUUGGAAUCUUAUUCCAGGAUCCAUGUUAAUCCCAUACAUAUUUCCGAGCUUCUAGGAUGACUGGAAUAUUACCUCUGAAGGAGCCUUACAUGCUUAUUUUUCUGCUGUUUAUGUCUUGGUACUGAUUAGUUGUAAUUACUACAAACAUUGUUGUGUAUCAGUGAAUAAUAUAUGUUUAUUUUUUAUACCAAGCCAUUUGCAUCAGUGAACCUUGAGAUUUCCCUUGAAUAAUAUAUCUUUGUGUUCAUGCAAAUUUAAUGUGCUUAAUGUGACAUUGAUUUUAUAAAUUUUUGAUAAUUUUAUCGUAUAAAUAGAUGGGCGUGGCAACGCGCGCCGUCAAUGAUCUAGUACAGUAUAAUUUUUUGACAUGGGCUGCGUGAUAUUUGGACGGGGACGGUGGUGUGGGAGGUGGGCACGGCCGCACGGGGAUAGAUUUUUUCUCAGGGAACAAGGAGGUUAGCUAUAAGUCUGGGGGAGAUUAGAUGAUUUGCCCCACUUUACAAGGGGUUAGAUGAUUUGCCCCAGGGUUGUCUCAAUGACCAGUGGCCCCGGCCCCACCCGGCAGCCUCUCGGGGAGGGGGGGCAAAUUAUCUAAGUGGGAAGUAAAGUGGGGCAAAAGAUCCAAUUUUCCGUUCUUGUUGUAGUGAUUACUUUAGAUGAACCAUUGAUGAUCAAUUCGAACCAGUGCAUGCAAUUAAAAUUAAUUUUACCUAAAUAGAGGGUGCAAAAUAAACUAC